UGAGCCCUACAAAGAAUUCUUCAACAUUUUAAAUAAAAUAAGAGUUAGAUGAUGGAAUGAGGAAUUAAAGACAAACUUAGAACAGAAAAGAUUCUGGAUUUAAAAGACUGGGGGAAAUAAUGGAAACAGUAACACUCCUUUUAGACUUUUGAACUUGUUCAAUUUACCCUCACAAAAUAGGACUAAUUGCCCAAGAACAAUUUGAUAAGACUAAGCCCCUGUUUGAGCCCCAUUAUCUCAAAAUACAUUUUUCCUCUAACUCAUUUACAACCACACAUUCUUCCAAUAAAAUAAUAUACACAAACCCAAAAAAAUUUCUAUUCUUUAACCACACAAUCUCCAAAAAAUAACUAUUACAAAGCUCAUUUUUGUUAAAAAUUGGGCUCAAACGGGGGCAAAAUGUCCUUAAGAAAAUUAAUUAGAAUCUUUUAGAAUUUGCACAUUACAUUAUGUUAGCAAGUAUUUAGCUUGACAGACAAACCUAGCGUAACAGUCUCCUCUCCUCCAGAAAUUUCUAAUGAACCCAAGGUAGCAGUAUCAGACUGGAAGUCCGGAUUCGUUGACAUGUCAUGUACAAAAUUUGGUACUAAAGCUCAUUUUUGUUAAAAAUUGGGCUCAAACGGGGGCAAAAUGUCCUUAAGAAAAUUAAUUAGAAUCUUUUAGAAUUUGCACAUUACAUUAUGUUAGCAAGUAUUUAGCUUGGCAGACAAACCUAGCGUAACAGUCUCCUCUCGUCCAGAAAUUUCUAAUGAACCCAAGGUAGCAGUAUCAGACUGGAAGUCCGGAUUCGUUGACAUGUCAUGUACAAAAUUUGGUACGUGAGGUUGCUCUGGGUUGGAACUGCAU
rnacentral:lncRNA from 1 species